rnacentral:rRNA from 1 species
UGUACCUUGUUGCUUCGGUGCGCCCGCCUCACGGCCGCCGGGGGGCUUCUGCCCCCGGGCCCGCGCCCACCGAAGACACCAUUGAACUCUGUCUGAAGAUUGCAGUCUGAGCAUAAACUAAAUAAGUUAAAACUUUCAACAACGGAUCUCUUGGUUCCGGCAUCGAUGAAGAACGCAGCGAAAUGCGAUAACUAAUGUGAAUUGCAGAAUUCAGUGAAUCAUCGAGUCUUUGAACGCACAUUGCGCCCCCUGGUAUUCCGGGGGGCAUGCCUGUCCGAGCGUCAUUGCUGCCCUCAAGCACGGCUUGUGUGUUGGGCUCCGUCCCCCCGGGGACGGGCCCGAAAGGCAGCGGCGGCACCGAGUCCGGUCCUCGAGCGUAUGGGGCUUUGUCACCCGCUCUGUAGGCCCGGCCGGCGCCAGCCGACAACCCAUCAUCCUUUUCAGGUUGACCUCGGAUCAGGUAGGGAUACCCGCUGAACUUAAGCAUAUC